rnacentral:rRNA from 1 species
AGUGAACGCUGGCGGUAGGCCUAACACAUGCAAGUCGAACGGCAGCACAGGAGAGCUUGCUCUCUGGGUGGCGAGAGGCGGGCGGGUGAGGAAUACAUCUCAGACUGUACAGUUGCGGGGGAGAACACGGGGAAACUCAUACUCAUAUCCCACACGACCUCCGGGGGAGAGAGGGGGGGCGCAUGACCUCUUGCGCUUGUGUGAGCCGAUGUCGGAUUAGCUAGUUGGCGGGGUAAAGGCCCACCAAGGCGACGAUCCGUAGCUGGUCUGAGAGGAUGAUCAGCCACACUGGAACUGAGACACGGUCCAGACUCCUACGGGAGGCAGCAGUGGGGAAUAUUGGACAAUGGGCGCAAGCCUGAUCCAGCCAUACCGCGUGGGUGAAGAAGGCCUUCGGGUUGUAAAGCCCUUUUGUUGGGAAAGAAAAGCUGCAGGCUAAUACCCUGCGAGUAUGACGGUACCCAAAGAAUAAGCACCGGCUAACUUCGUG